AGACAAAGUAGCCAGCCCACCAUCCCUAGAUGAUUUUCCAGUCUUUGCACACCAGUGUGGCCAUAGGCUUGUUUUCUCCUGGACUGAGCCUGAAGAUCCUACGAGCAAGCAUACGUCCUGUGCUCCAUUAGUCCUAGCUGGAUCGUGGACAUAUUACCAUCAUUACAAAUAUCAACAGUUUGUGAUUACUUCAAACAAUCUGAAGUUGAAGGACCCCAGAUAUCCUUUAAAACAGGAAUCUGCAGGCAGAUGCUGAACCCAUGAAUACAGAGGGACAACUAUGCUCCAGCCCUGAAUGCAGGAGAGUUGCUAAAGAAGUUGCUCACAAAGGCUAGAGAGAGCAGGCUACUGAUUUCCUUCAAAAUGGAAUAGGAAACAGAAAACGUGCAUCAUUUCUUCGCACUUGAAUCAGCAACAUGACAUAGGACUUUGGCAUCAG